GACUGGGGUGGUGCAGUGGUCCAGCAUGCCGUGGUGGUCCCAUGGAGACCUGGGUUCGAAUCCCAGUCGCCGGUCA